rnacentral:rRNA from 1 species
UAAAUAAGAGUAUUUGGUGGAUGCCUUGGGUCUGAAAGUCGAUGAAGGACGUGAUUACCUGCGAUAAGCUU